GUUUAGAUAGAUUAAAUUUAAAAUCGUGUCACUGAAGAUGAUAAAAUAAUAUUUUAUUUCUAAAUA
rnacentral:tRNA from 1 species